rnacentral:rRNA from 1 species
GCUCCAGACUCCUACGGGAGGCAGCAGUGGGGAAUCUUCCGCAAUGGGCGAAAGCCUGACGGAGCAACGCCGCGUGAUCGAAUGAAGGCCUUCGGGUUGUAAAGAUCUGUUGACAGGGACGAAUAAGCAAUGCGAAUAGUUUUGUGUAUGACGGUACCUGUUUAGAAAGCUCCGGCUAACUACGUGCCAGCAGCCGCGGUAAUACGUAGGGAGCAAGCGUUGUCCGGAAUUACUGGGCGUAAAGGGCGCGUAGGCGGGAUUGCAAGUCAGAUGUGAAAACUAUGGGCUCAACCGAUAGAGUGCAUUUGAAACUGCAGUUCCUGAGUGAUGGAGAGGCAGGCGGAAUUCCCGGUGUAGCGGUGGAAUGCGUAGAUAUCGGGAGGAACACCAGUGGCGAAGGCGGCCUGCUGGACAUUAACUGACGCUGAGGCGCGAAAGCGUGGGGAGCAAACAGGAUUAGAUACCCGCGUAUC